rnacentral:tRNA from 1 species
GGAAGAGUGGGUGAGUUGGUUUAAACCACCAGGUUGCUAACUUGGCGUAGGAAGCAAUUUCUACCAUGGGUUCGAAUCCCAUCUCUUCCGCCA